GUUUGUAGGAAACCCUUCCCGCGUUUUGGGAGUUCGGUGGGGCCCACCAGCAAGGAGGGGAGGCGCGGGCGCGAGCCAGGGCGGGCGCGGGACGCGAGUCGGCGCGGACCGGGCGCGAGCCGGCACGGGUGACGUGGCUCCCCGCCUCUCUCUCUCCAAUCUCCCGGCGCGGAUCCGCCGGGAUCCGCGGCGCGAUCUUCGCGUUUUUUUGUUCCCUCGCGCUGUCCCCCCUCUUUCUCUCCGCGAUCCGCCGUCCGAUCUCCCUGCCGGGAUUCGUGGUCUCUCCGACCUCCCGCCGGGAUUUGCGGCACGAUCCUCGCCGGUGUGAGAUCUGGCGAGGAUCUCUUGGCCACCGCCUCGCCCCCGCCUCUCUCUCUCCGAUCUCUCACCGAUCUUCCCGCCGGGAUCCGCAGCUGCAUCUCGAGUACUCGGUGCCCCACGGGAGCACCGUGGAGGAGAUCGCCGAGGAGUUUGGGGUCGACAAUGCGACGCUGAUGGAGAUCAACGGGAUCGCCGAUCCCUCCAAGCUACAGGCCGAGCAGAUCCUCGAUGUGCCCCCUUCGAGGGAUUUUUGGUAAACAAGUAUCUAACUAAAUAUCGUGCCGUUCAUCACGAUACCAAGGAGGGAACCCGCAAUCACUUUCACCGAGUCAAGGUUGAUAACAAGGACAAGCUAAAGUGCUCAUUACAACGUAAUAAUAUUAUGCGGCAUUACAUUACAUGGUGGAUCAUGUAGUGGUGCUGCUGUUGCAACGGGUCCCCACAGCAUCACUGAGAGAGUAAGCUCUUAAAUUCCCAACUAAAAUUCUAAAAUUUGAAAAAUUUAAAGAUAUUCUUUUCAAAGGAUCCCUGUAUUCCAUGCUCCAAAUUGAUUUAACUAUUUAAUUAUGUUAUCUUUUCCCUGUAUCUUUGUUAUAUACUUGAAAUAAAUACUAAAAUAUAACCUAAAUUUUUCUGCCAUGUUUUGACUAAUCUUCUGUUAUCAUUAGCUUGAUCAUGUCAGUCUCCAGAAUUUGGCCUAUUCAUUUAGUUUGUAGCUUUUGCACAUCAACUUAUGCGAGACUCUCAGAAUAAAUUCUGUAAAAUCGAUGUAUUUUCUAAUUAAAUUUUCUUUCAUUACUAA